AUGUUUGGGAAGUAAUUUGGGGGUCUUGGUGAUUUUUUAUAAAUUUUGCUGAAGUAAAAUGGGAGACAUUUCCGAAAAAUUAAGGACAUCCGCCUCAUACAGCAAAACUUUUACUCAUAUAAUAUUGUUGCAUAAAUUUUUUGAAAUUGGGACAAGCACAAGUCGUGAAAAUGGUGCGUGGGCUCGCACGACAUUCAGAGUUUAAAAGAAAUAAAAAAAUAAAAAAAACCACCCUACCCUGAUACCCUUUCCCCAUUCUCCUUCUCGUCUCUUUCUCUUCCCUUGGCCCUAGCAGCCACUCCCACAAUCACCAUCACCCUCAGCUUUGACCACCUCACCACCCUUUUUCUUUGAGCCAAGCUCCAAAUUUCAUGCACCCACUAACCUAGACUCCAAACCAAGUGACCCCGGGCACGAGCCCAACUACGUGUGACUUUGACCUAGGUGCGACUUCCAUUCGCGCGCCACCGCCUAGUGCAAUCUGGUCCCCGUUCCGUCAUUGAUUCUCAAGCGUGUACCCAGAUUCCACGAGCCCAAGCGCGCCUCCCCUUCACGCGAGGCCACGCGUGUCUCUGAGAAAAGCCGACGUCGAGAGCUCCGCCGCACCCAUAAAAAAUUGGCCCCGACCCCAGCUUCGUGAGUUCCUUAUUGCGUGACGCCACCACUUGAGACCCAAUCUCAUACUCAGUCGAGUCUCCCCCACAAAUCCAAACCCGAGGCCCAAUGCCUUUCCACCACUGCCGAGUUUCUCCUUUGUAGUUUCCUUUUGCUCCUUUCCGAAGUUCUUUCUUUGGAUAUUUGUGGCAGUAACUUCACCUUUGCAGCUCUUUCUGGGUAAUAUUUUUCAUACUUUGGAUUGGUUUAGUUGUGUUUGUGAAUUUUUUCCUUUGGGGAUGCCAUCUUUGGUUCAUUCUUUAUUACGUAUUGUGGAUAAAUUGCUCUUGUUUUGUUCUUUGAGUGUAGCAUUGUGAUUUUGGGCAACUACACAGGGUGCUAUUGUUGUUUGCUUUGAUCUGUGAGGGUGGCAUGUUGAUUUUUUGCCAGUUAUUUAUGAUGAAUAAUCGAUGAAAAAUAUUGGUUGAGUUGGAUCUGUGGCUUUGGAUUUGUUCUUGAGUUAUUUGUGAUUCUUAUUCGAUGGUACUUUUGGAUAUUUGAUUGUGCCUUGUUGCUUCUAGGAAACUUUGCUAGUUGAUACGCAAGUGGAAAUAUUGUUUGAUGGCCCCAUUGGUUGCAAUUCGUGAUUUGUGAGCAACCAUAACCAAUCUUGCCCAUAUUUGACUCCCAUAUGACAACUCCAGAAACAAGAGAUCAAAAGUGAAAACCCACCACUAACUCAACCUCACCACCAACCAAAAAGAAAACAAUAGCCACAAAAUUGGCCUAUAAGCCCACCAAUCAACCUGUCAUAGCUCAGGAAGACCCACCAAUUUCCCCACAACCACCAUUUCCAUUAGCCAACACACAAGACCCCACCAUUUCCCCUCCUUCACUGCCACAACCAGCUGCCCCGGUCCCUUAGCCUCGUCCCAAGCCUACUAAUCCAGCUCCAUCAUCCAAUAAAGCACCUCCAAAACAGAAAGUGUCCAAACCAAAGCCCAAAUGCAAGAUCUGACACCUAAUGUUGAAAGGUUUCACAAUGCCCAAGCUAAGGAGUGAUAUGAGACUAUUAAGUCCAAGAAGUUAUGGCCAGAGUGAGGAAUUUUACAUGCUUCAUUUGAAUUGCCUACUUAUAUUGCCGAUCUCAUUGAGAAACAUCAGUGGGAUAAGUUAUGUCUAAAGCCUAAGCGAGCAAUUGUGCCUCUUGUGCAUGAGUUCUGUGCCAAUCUUGUGUCCAAGGCCCAGACUGAAGUAGUGGUGAGAGGAGAAAGAGUUUCCCUUUCUACUGAGGCAAUCAACGAGUUCUUUUGUUUGGAGAAUUUUGAGUGUGCGGUGUUCAAUGAUAUGUUUCUCACACCUGCAUCUGAGCACUCUGUAGCGGUACUUAACACUGUGGCUAUUGUUGGGACCCCAUGGAUUAUUUCUUCCACCGGUCAUCAUACACUUCGGUAUGUCUCUGUGACUCCCAAGGCUAGCGUUUGGCUCAAUUUUCUCAAGUGUUAUCUAUUGCCCAUUACACAUGACUUGAGUGUGAGCCAGGAUCAAUUACUUUUGUUGUACUAUAUUAUGGUGGGAUAGAGCAUUGAUGUUGGAAAGAUUAUUGUGAAGGAGAGUUUGGGCGGUUGUUUUUUCUGUCCCUUGUCACUCAGGUUUGUCUGAAGGCUAGAGUUGUCGUCGGUGCCUCUGAGGAGGUCUUACAGAAGAAAAUGGAUAUUGAUUUGGAUUCCAUUCAUAUAGUCUGUUAGUGGCAUGACUUCUCUUGACCCACCUUCUAGCAGUGAUGUUCCUAGAGGCAAUUUGGUUUUGCUGGAGCAAAAGAAAUUUUGCUAGAGCAUUUUCAACACGAUACAAAGACAGAAAUUCAGCAUAUAAAGGAGAGAUACAUGGCACCAUUAUUUGAGCUGGCAAGGAGUGAUGAGGUGGUGCAAAAUCAGAGAAAAUAGCUUGAAUUCUUGUUGUUGUUUAGCCACUAGUGACAAAAUGAUUAGCUAUAUUUGUCCUAGAAACUUUGAAUAUAGUGGAUAAAUUUGAAUGAUACAAAAAGAUAAUCUUGUUAGAUCA